rnacentral:rRNA from 1 species
AUUGAACGCUGGCGGCAGGCCUAACACAUGCAAGUCGAACGAGAGGCGGACGGGUGCGUAAUGUAUGGGAAACUGCCCGAUGGAGGGGGAUAACUACUGGAAACGGUAGCUAAUACCGCAUACCAUCGGAUGGGACCAGAUGGGGUUAGCUAGUAGGGGGGGUAACGGCUCACCUAGGCGACGAGCCCUAGCGGGUCUGAGAGGAUGACCAGCCACACUGGAACUGAGACACGGUCCAGACCCCUACGGGAGGCAGCAUUGGGGAAUAUUGCACAAUGGGCGAAAGCCUGAUGCAGCCAGGCCGCGUGUAUGAAGAAGGCCUUCGGGUUGUAAAGUACUUUCAGCGAGGAGGCGUUACUCGCAGAAGAAGCACCGGCUAACUCCGUGCCAGCCGCCGCGGUAAUAC